rnacentral:rRNA from 1 species
UACGAAGGGGGCGAGCGUUGUUCGGAAUUACUGGGCGUAAAGGGCGUGUAGGCGGCCCCUUUUGUCGCGUGUGAAAGCCCCGGGCUCAACCUGGGAACGGCGCGCGAAACGGGGGGGCUUGAGUUUGGGAGAGGGAUGCGGAAUUCCAGGUGUAGCGGUGAAAUGCGUAGAUAUCUGGAGGAACACCGGUGGCGAAGGCGGCAUCCUGGACCAACACUGACGCUGAGGUGCGAAAGCGUGGGGAGCAAACAGG